GAUGAACGCUGGCGGCGUGCCUAAUACAUGCAAGUCGAGCGAACGGACGAGAAGCUUGCUUCUCUGAUGUUAGCGGCGGACGGGUGAGUAACACGUGGAUAACCUACCUAUAAGACUGGGAUAACUUCGGGAAACCGUAGCUAAUACCGGAUAAUAUUUUGAACCGCAUGGUUCAAAAGUGAAAGACGGUCUUGCUGUCACUUAUAGAUGGAUCCGCGCUGCAUUAGCUAGUUGGUAAGGUAACGGCUUACCAAGGCAACGAUGCAUAGCCGACCUGAGAGGGUGAUCGGCCACACUGGAACUGAGACACGGUCCAGACUCCUACGGGAGGCAGCAGUAGGGAAUCUUCCGCAAUGGGCGAAAGCCUGACGGAGCAACGCCGCGUGAGGGAUGAAGGUCUUCGGAUCGUAAAACUCUGUUAUUAGGGAAGAACAUAUGUGUAAGUAACUGUGCACAUCUUGACGGUACCUAAUCAGAAAGCCACGGCUAACUACGUG
rnacentral:rRNA from 1 species